GCCCAGAUGGUGAAAUUGGUAGACACGCAGGCUUGAGGGGCCUGUGCUCGCAAGAGCGUGCAAGUUCGAGUCUUGUUCUGGGCA
rnacentral:tRNA from 1 species